rnacentral:rRNA from 1 species
AUUGAACGCUGGCGGCAGGCCUAACACAUGCAAGUCGAGCGGAUGAAGGGAGCUUGCCCCUGGAUUCAGCGGCGGACGGGUGAGUAAUGCCUAGGAAUCUGCCUGGUAGUGGGGGAUAACGUCCGGAAACGGGCGCUAAUACCGCAUACGUCCUGAGGGAGAAAGUGGGGGAUCCUCGGACCUCACGCUAUCAGAUGAGCCUAGGUCGGAUUAGCGAGUUGGUGGGGUAAAGGCCUACCAAGGCGACGAUCCGUAACUGGUCUGAGAGGAUGAUCAGUCACACUGGAACUGAGACACGGUCCAGACUCCUACGGGAGGCAGCAGUGGGGAAUAUUGGACAAUGGGCGAAAGCCUGAUCCAGCCAUGCCGCGUGUGUGAAGAAGGUCUUCGGAUUGUAAAGCACUUUAAGUUGGGAGGAAGGGCAGUAAGUUAAUACCUUGCUGUUUUGACGUUACCAACAGAAUAAGCACCGGCUAACUUCGUG